rnacentral:rRNA from 1 species
GAUGAACGCUGGCGGCGUGCCUAACACAUGCAAGUCGAGCGGACGGACGGAACUUUUGCUUGUCUUAUGUUAGGGGCGGACGGGUGAGUAACAGGAGUCUACCCUACCUUUAGGGCUGGGGUAACUUCGGGAACCCGAAUCUAACACCGGAUAAGAUUUUGAACCUCAGGGUUCAAAAGACAAAGACGUUCUUGCUGUCCCUAGUAGAUGUUUCCGCGCUGCAUUAGCUAGUUGGUAAGGUAACGGCUUACCAAGGCAACGAUGCGUAGCCGACCUGAGAGGGUGAUCGGCCACACUGGAACUGAGACACGGUCCAGACUCCUACGGGAGGCAGCAGUAGGGAAUCUUGGGCAAUGGGCGAAAGCCUGACGGAGCAACGCCGCGUGAGUGAUGAAGGUCUUCGGAUCGUAAAGCACUGUUAGUUGGGAAGAACAGAUGUGUGAGUAAAUGUGGCCAUCUUGACGGUACCAAAUCAAAAAGCACCGGCUAGCUACGUG